AGUGAACGCUGGCGGUAGGCCUAACACAUGCAAGUCGAACGGCAGCACAGGAGAGCUUGCUCUCUGGGUGGCGAGUGGCGGACGGGUGAGGAAUACAUCGGAAUCUACUCUGUCGUGGGGGAUAACGUAGGGAAACUUACGCUAAUACCGCAUACGACCUACGGUCGAAAGCAGGGGAUCUUCGGUCCUUGCGCGAUUGACUGAGCCGAUGUCGGAUUAGCUAGCUGGUGGGGUAAAGGCCCACCAAGGCGUCGAUCCGUAGCUGGUCUGAGAGGAUGAUCAGCCACACUGGGCCUUCCUCUCCUUCCAGACUCCUACGGGAGGACUCCUUUAUUCCUCUUGGACAAUGGGCACAUGCCUAAUCCCUCCUUCCCGCGUGGGUGAAGAAGGCCUGCUCUUUUUAAACCCCUUUUCUUCUUCCUCCCCUCCAGCUGGCUAAUCCCCUCUUUUCCUUCCCGUCCCCCCCUCCUCUCCUCCGGCUAACUUCGUGCCAGCAGCCGCCGUAC
rnacentral:rRNA from 1 species